rnacentral:sRNA from 1 species
AUUGACGUGCACCCAAACAUAGUGCCCGUAGAGAACACCACAGCUCAGAGCUUAUAUGUAGUGUGGGAGCCAGGAAAGACACUGUAGAGGGGGCAUUUGGGCUAGGCAGGACAGGCACGCUGUGGACAGGAAGAGAAGAAGGGAGGGCCAUUCCUGGUGGAGGACAGAGCCUAGAGGCAGAAAAGCACAGAGAGGCAGGGCCCCAAGAUGCUAGCCUAGCCAGGGCACCUAGCUGAGGAGUGUGAGUGGCAGAAGCCACUGGUGUCUGAGCAGGGUGAGGGCCCGAUGGGGCUGGGAGGACCUCCCUGCAGGCAGGGGAGAAAGGGCUAUUAGAACCCAGGGUGAGGCCGGGCGCGGUGGCUCACACCUGUAAUCCCAGCACUUUGGGAGGCCGAGGCAUGCGGAUCACCUGAGUUUGCAGACCUGACAGACGCUGCUGCCCGCAACGCGGAGCUGCUCCGCCAGGCCAAGCACGAAGCCAACGACUACCGGCGUCAGUUGCAGUCCUUGACCUGCGACCUGGAGUCUCUGCGCGGCACGAACGAGUCCCUGGAGAGGCAGAUGCGCGAGCAGGAGGAGCGCCAC